AGCCCUCUGGCCAAGAAUAGGCGAGUUACCUUGAACAGUUUCAGUGCGGUGCUUCGAGAAGUUAAAGUCCCAUCCACCUGGCAGAGCGGUUUAGAUUUCCUUUGGGUGAUGGACUAAGGAAAGGUGAUGCUCCCGCUUGCUGUGAUCUUGCCUUGGCAGCCUCCAGAGAGAGAGAGAGAGUGAGAGAGAGAAAGAGAGAAAUCUUCCUGUCCAGAAUUUCUCCUCCUCCUCCUCCCCCCCCUCUAGCGGAAAGCCCAGAUUUUCCCCUAUUUGGGGUUUGCAGAUUCCCGGUGUGCAGAGGCAGCGGGAGAAGGAGCGAGGUAGGAACGUCCUGGAUGAGGGAGUGAAAGAAAAGCAAUCCUCCCCUCCCUUCACAGUCCUGCCAACGGCUCCUUUCAGACUCCUCCUGUCAGCCUCAUUGAACCUCUCCUGGCAUUCUGCAUCUUCCGAGACCCACCUCUAUAACGGUCAGGAUAGGAGAGGGCUUCCACGUCUAGAGAAAUGGAACACUGAGUCUUCUAUCAGCCGGCCGGUUGAUCGCAGCCUUACUGGACAGCUCUGUCUUAUUCCGAAUGGGCGACUCCAGGAUCCCCCUACUUUUCCACCCUCUCCCCGAGACUCUUCCCUCCUCGCGGCCAAGAGAGCGAGGCCAGAGAGGAAGACCAAGAAUAAGAAUUUCCAGAGUGGCUGCCAAAUGCAUCCGCUGACCAUGAUGGAAACUACCCCUGGCUCAGAAGACCAUUCCCCAGGG
rnacentral:lncRNA from 1 species